AUCCCAGAUAAGCUGAGUUUUCGUGCUUAUCUGAUUCAUAGGAGGCCAAAAACGACUCUGGAAGUUUCGCUGAUAAAUGCCUUAUUUUCUUAUUUUACGAAGGCGUUUACUAGUAACUCUGCCAUACAUUG